rnacentral:rRNA from 1 species
CAGUCGUACGCUUCUUUUUCCCCGGAGCUUGCUCCACCGGAAAAAGAAGAGUGGCGAACGGGUGAGUAACACGUGGGUAACCUGCCCAUCAGAAGGGGAUAACACUUGGAAACAGGUGCUAAUACCGUAUAACAAUCGAAACCGCAUGGUUUUGAUUUGAAAGGCGCUUUCGGGUGUCGCUGAUGGAUGGACCCGCGGUGCAUUAGCUAGUUGGUGAGGUAACGGCUCACCAAGGCCACGAUGCAUAGCCGACCUGAGAGGGUGAUCGGCCACAUUGGGACUGAGACACGGCCCAAACUCCUACGGGAGGCAGCAGUAGGGAAUCUUCGGCAAUGGACGAAAGUCUGACCGAGCAACGCCGCGUGAGUGAAGAAGGUUUUCGGAUCGUAAAACUCUGUUGUUAGAGAAGAACAAGGAUGAGAGUAACUGUUCAUCCCUUGACGGUAUCUAACCAGAAAGCCACGGCUAACUACGUGCCAGCAGCCGCGGUAAUACGUAGGUGGCAAGCGUUGUCCGGAUUUAUUGGGCGUAAAGCGAGCGCAGGCGGUUUCUUAAGUCUGAUGUGAAAGCCCCCGGCUCAACCGGGGAGGGUCAUUGGAAACUGGGAGACUUGAGUGCAGAAGAGGAGAGUGGAAUUCCAUGUGUAGCGGUGAAAUGCGUAGAUAUAUGGAGGAACACCAGUGGCGAAGGCGGCUCUCUGGUCUGUAACUGACGCUGAGGCUCGAAAGCGUGGGGAGCAAACAGGAUUAGAUACCCUGGUAGUCCACGCCGUAAACGAUGAGUGCUAAGUGUUGGAGGGUUUCCGCCCUUCAGUGCUGCAGCUAACGCAUUAAGCACUCCGCCUGGGGAGUACGACCGCAAGGUUGAAACUCAAAGGAAUUGACGGGGGCCCGCACAAGCGGUGGAGCAUGUGGUUUAAUUCGAAGCAACGCGAAGAACCUUACCAGGUCUUGACAUCCUUUGACCACUCUAGAGAUAGAGCUUCCCCCUUCGGGGGCAAAGUGACAGGUGGUGCAUGGUUGUCGUCAGCUCGUGUCGUGAGAUGUUGGGUUAAGUCCCGCAACGAGCGCAACCCUUAUUGUUAGUUGCCAUCAUUUAGUUGGGCACUCUAGCAAGACUGCCGGUGACAAACCGGAGGAAGGUGGGGAUGACGUCAAAUCAUCAUGCCCCUUAUGACCUGGGCUACACACGUGCUACAAUGGGAAGUACAACGAGUCGCGAAGUCGCGAGGCUAAGCUAAUCUCUUAAAGCUUCUCUCAGUUCGGAUUGUAGGCUGCAACUCGCCUACAUGAAGCCGGAAUCGCUAGUAAUCGCGGAUCAGCACGCCGCGGUGAAUACGUUCCCGGGCCUUGUACACACCGCCCGUCACACCACGAGAGUUUUAACACCCGAAGUCGGUGAGGUAACCU